rnacentral:misc_RNA from 1 species
UCUCGGCUUAUCACCGGCAGUCCCCCUAGAGUGCCCAACUGAAUGAUGGCAACUAAAGACGAGGGUUGCGCUCGUUGCGGGACUUAACCCAACAUCUCACGACACGAGCUGACGACAGCCAUGCAGCACCUGUGCACUAGCCAGCCGAACUGAAGGAUGAGGUCUCCCCCACCCACACGGGACAUGUCAAGAGCUGGUAAGGUUCUUCGCGUUGCGUCGAAUUAAACCACAUGCUCCACCGCUUGUGCGGGCCCCCGUCAAUUCCUUUGAGUUUCAGCCUUGCGGCCGUACUCCCCAGGCGGGGCACUUAUCGCGUUAGCUGCGACACGGAAGGGGUCGAUCCCACCCGCGUCUAGUGCCCAUCGUUUACGGCGUGGACUAC